rnacentral:rRNA from 1 species
CUACGGGAGGCAGCAGUGGAGAAUCUUGCGCAAUGGGCGAAAGCCUGACGCAGCCACGCCGCGUGCGGGAAGAAGGCCUUCGGGUCGUAAACCGCUUUCAGGAGGGAAGAAGCGAGAGUGACGGUACCUCCAGAAGAAGCCCCGGCCAACUACGUGCCAGCAGCCGCGGUAAUACGUAGGGGGCAAGCGUUGUCCGGAAUCAUUGGGCGUAAAGGGCACGUAGGCGGCCACGUAAGUCGGAUGUGAAAUCCCGGGGCUCAACCCCGGAACUGCAUCCGAUACUGCGUGGCUUGAGGAAGGUAGAGGAGAGUGGAAUUCCCGGUGUAGCGGUGGAAUGCGCAGAUAUCGGGAGGAACACCAGCGGCGAAGGCGGCUCUCUGGACCUUUCCUGACGCUGAGGUGCGAAAGCGUGGGUAGCGAACAGGAUUAGAUACCCUGGUAGUCCACGCCGUAAACGAUGGGUGCUAGGUGUGGGGAUCAGUUCACGAUUUCCGUGCCGAAGCUAACGCGUUAAGCACCCCGCCUGGGGACUACGGCCGCAAGGCUAAAACUCAAAUGAAUUGACGGGG